rnacentral:lncRNA from 1 species
AUAUUCUAUUGGUUAGAUACAAGUCACAGGUCCUACCCACAUUGAAGAGGAGGGGAAAAUAAGAGUGUAAUGCCAGAAACAGGGAUCAUGUAGUAUCACCUUAGGUUCAAUAUGUCACCAUCACUCUCCUUACGUUCUCUUAGAUUCCCAAUUUUCUUAUCAGUAUUAUCAGGGUAUGACAGAAUGAUGGUCAGACAUCUUUCAUGAGUUCAGGCAGCACCAUUUCUAAUGAGCACUAUUAUGCCUUCCACAAAGGAACUCAUGGCCUGUUAUCAAGGUGACUGUGCAAUGAGGAAAAGAAAAUGAUGAAACUUUUGGAGAGUUACUGACUGAACACCAGCUGUGAAUUGAUACUAAUUUCUGGAGACAAAACAUGAGUUUGUCCACCAGUCAGUGUCAGAGCUUAUGGAGGUCAGAAGAUCAAUGGAGUUUUAGCUUAGAUCCAUCUUAUAGUGACCCAGUGGGUCGCCAAACCCAUCCUGCAGUUACUUCUCCAGUUCCAGAAUAAAUAAUUGGAUAGAAAUAGUCAGCAACUGGCAGAAUUCCCAUAUUGGUUUACUGACCUCUAAAGCGAGAGCUAUUAUAGUAAGAAAAUACCAAAAGGAAGCCAAUAGAACUGCCUCUACUUUGAAAAAUAGCAAAUUAAAACCCAUAUCUUAUUUCUGGAUGGAUUGCAAACAUUAAUGCCAACAUCAGGAUGCAGAGGUAACAAUUCCCACCGCACCCUCACUCAACUUGCCUAUUUGCCUGUGUGGAAAAGAGAUGGAUCUUGGAGAAUAACAACAGAUUAUCCAGGAACAGAAUCAAGUGAACUUAAAUUGCAGUUGCUGUUUCAGAUGUGAUUUAAUUGCUUGAGCAAAUUAACACAUCCCUUGGUACCUGGUGUGCAGCCAUCGAUUUGUCAAAUGCUUUUUUCUUGAUAUCUGAUAACAUAGACAAGCAGAAGCAGUUUGUCUAGCUGGCAAGGCCACCGAUAAACCUGCACUUGAACUCGCUUGAACUCGGGAGGCACUAUCCUGCCUCUAGGGUAUAUCAACUCUCUAAACUUAUAUUUAGUCCAUAUAAAUUAAUUCAGCUAAAAUUUAGUCCACAGGGACUUUGAUUGCCUUUCCCUUCUACAAGAUAUCACACGGGCCUAUUACAGACGAGUAUUAUGGCGAUUGGACCUGCGAAGCAGGAAAUAGCAACUGCUGUAGACGUAGUUGUAAGACAAUUGCAUGUCCAAGGAUGAAAAAUGAAUCUAGAAAAAUGCCACGGCCUUCUACUUCAGUGAAAUUUCUGGGGGUCCAGUGGUGUACAGUAGGGCAAGAUAUCCCUUCUAAGAUGAAGGAUAAGUUGUUUCAUCUGGCUUCUCCUACAACUGCAAAAGAAGCACAACACUUAUAAGGCCUCUUUAAAUUUUGGAGACAACAUAUUCUUUAUUUGGGUAUGGUACUCCAGCAUUUACUGGGUGACUUGAAAAAACUGCUAGUUUUAACUGAGGUGUAUAAAAAGAAAAGGCUCUGAAACAGGUCCAGUUUGCCGUGCAAACUGCUCUGCCACUUGGAUCAUAUGAUUCAGAAGAUGCAAUGGUGUUUGAUGUGUCAGCAGCAGAAAGAGAUAUUGUUUGAAGACUUUUGCACACUUAUGGGGAAAUACAGUGGAUGCCUUAUAUUUUGGAGCAAAGCCCUGAAAUCCUCUGUGCGUUACUGCUCCCCUUUUGAGAAACAGUUUUUAGCUUGCUACCAAGCCUUAAACUGAACACUUAGCUAUGGGCAACCAAGUAACCAUAUGACCAGAGCUUUCUCUCACAUAUUGGAUGUUGUCUGUUCUACAAGCCAUAAAGUUGGGAAUGCACAAAAAUAUUGCAUUAUUGUAUGUGGAAGUCCUAUAUAUAAAAUUAGGCUUAAGUAGGCCCUGGAGGCACAAGUUUAAUCAGGAAGUGAGCCAAAUAUUCAUGACCCCAAUUCUUGCUGCACUACUUACUCUGUCUCCUAGUCUGCAGAUAUGGCCUUAUAACCAGUUCCCUACAACUAGUUGACUGAGGAAGACAAAACUUGAGCUUGGUUUAGUGAUGGUUCUGCACAAUAUGCAGACACUACCCAAAAGUGGAUGGUUGAAGCACUAUAGCCCAUUGUGGACAUUCCUGAAGACAGUGGAGAAGGAAAACCAUCCCAGUGGGUGGAAAUUUGAGUAGUGUACCCAGUUGUUUAUUUACUCAGAAGGAGAAAUGGCCAGAGGUUUAAGACUAUAUUAAUUCAUAGGCUAUAGCCAAUGGGUUGGCUGAAAGAUCAGGAGCUUGGAAAAAACAUUGUUGGAAAAUUGCUGAGGUAUGUGGAUGGAGACCCUCUAAGUGGGCACCAAAUCUGAAGAUAUCUAUGUCUUAUGUAAAGGCUCACCACGGGUUGCUUCACUAGAGGAGGGUUUUAUUAAUCAAGUGAAUAGAAUGAUCCAUCCCGUCAAUACCAGUCAGCUUCAUUUCCCAGCCAUUCUUGUCAUUACUCAAUGGUGACAGUUACGCAUGGGCUUACCCAUGCAUGGGCUCAGCACUAUGUCUACUCACUAAGGCCAACCUUGCUAUGGCCACUGUUGAGUGCCCAGUCUACCAGCAGAAGAGACCAACACUGAGUGCUUUAUAUGGACUCAUUCGUUAAGAAGAGUGAACAUCACCCGAGGACUUUGCAUUGUCUUCUGGGGAAAGGGGAGUUUCACUUUUGUCACCCAGGCUGGG